AAAGGAAUUGACGGGGGCCCGCACAAGCGGAGGAACAUGUGGUUUAAUUCGAUGAUACGCGAGGAACCUUACCUGGGCUUAAAUGGGAGCAGACGGAUUUGGAAACAGGUCUUUCUUCGGACUGCUUUCAAGGUGCUGCAUGGUUGUCGUCAGCUCGUGCCGUGAGGUGUCGGGUUAAGUCCCAUAACGAGCGCAACCCCUACCGAUAGUUACCAUCAGGUCAAGCUGGGGACUCUAUCGGGACUGCCACCGUAAGGUGCGAGGAAGGCGGGGAUGACGUCAAAUCAGCACGGCCCUUAUGUCCAGGGCUACACACGUGUUACAAUGGCCGGUACAGAGGGCAGCUACCCUGCGAGGGGAUGCUAAUCUUAUAAAUCCGGUCUCAGUUCGGAUCGAAGUCUGCAACCCGACUUCGUGAAGCUGGAUUCGCUAGUAAUCGCGCAUCAGCCAUGGCGCGGUGAAUACGUUCCCGGGCCUUGUACACACCGCCCGU
rnacentral:rRNA from 1 species